CACAAGGUGACGAUCUUUUUAAGGGCGGAACCAAAGUUAGGGAAGUUUUGGUUCCGCCCGGAAGGUUUCCCCACCGGGCCACAUACGAGGACGGACCUUCUCACUUCCUGGUUUCCAGGACAACGGAAUCAGGGGUUGACGAGCCGCAGGUGAGAGGAAUGAGGCCAGCGAAGGGUGAUUGGAGGCCGUAUGAAAUAUAUAGCUCUGCUGAAACACAAAGAGAGGAGCGAUUGACACGGAGCGAUGUACACGAGAGGCGGUUGACACGGGGGAGUCCCUUUGCCAAAGGCAAUACAAAGACACGCACCUUUUGAAGAGCCCGAAGGCUCUGUUGAUCCGGGGAUCGCUGAAGCGAGCGGAAAGAGGACAGAGCCACAGGAGGCGAAAGGAAGGCAAGCUGUGGAUCUUUAAGGAGGAGCCCCCCGAAAUCGCUGGAGAGUUAACUGCUGAGUGUUGUUGUGUAUCGUAGCGCCGAGUUGGGCUCGCCGGAUACGCUGCUUGGAUCGCCGUAUUGCUCUCUCUCUCUCUCGUUGGACCAUAGAUUUAUGCAAAGGAGGAUAUCGACAACCUUAUAGGUGGAAUACUAGACGGACACUAACGUGGACGAGAGGAACGGAGGAAGAGGGAAACUUGCUGCUGUGAGUUUGCAUCUGUGAAGAAGUGGUAUGGUGGCUGGAAAAAGCCUCAUUCAUGCAUUUGGAGUUAUUACAGCGUGAAGUCAACCUAGGACGAAGGCAGACAGUAAUUGUGAGUAACUACAUCCCUUGAAGUAGGUGUUUUGGAUACAGUUGAUCUAGAUAAUCGUUGUUGAGUGUUUUCAAGAGAGAGUGAGUGGCCCUACCCCUGUCCCAGUGUGGUGGGUGAGCCGAAGGGUUUUGUGUGGAAGCAGCUACAGUGACGACAACAACCAAACACUAGGCCGUCUACCAUCUCCCUUUUCUCGCCCAGAGCGAAGUAGAAGAAGACGGGUGUCAUUGUGUGCACUGAGCGUGGUGGAGUGGAGGCGAGUGAGAUCCGCCAGCCCGAGGUCUCGACGAAAGGGCGCCCCGGUCCAGUUUUCGAUCGACCAACGGGUCUCGAGGAAAGGGCAGCGCUCGACCCGGUGUGCUGGCGUGACGUCCUCGCCCCUCUGCCAAUCAACGAGUCCGCCGAGUGGGUCUUGGCCCCCGGCGUCUCCUUGCGAACCACUGUCUAAUCAACGCACUGCAUAGCUAGCCAGCGUUAAGCCCGCCAUCCGCAGUUCUCUGUGGAGAGAAAGAGAGCCAGCGUGAACACUGAGAUAUUGAGUUGUGGAGAGAGCCAUACCUACCUGGAAGCUGUAACCAGCACAGAGGUGAGAGAAAACCUUAGAAUCAAUUCACCGUGUCCUUGCAUCCCAACAGUCAUCUGUGGAGAGAGAAAGAGAGCCAGCGUGAGCACUGAGAUAUUGAGCUGUGGAGAGAGCCAUACCUACCUAGAAGCUGUAACCAGCACAGAGGUGAGAGAAAACCUUGAAAUGAUUCACUGUGUCCCUGUGUUCCAGCAGUCGUCUGUGGAGAGGAAGAGAACUAGCAUGAACGCUGAGAUACCGAGCUGUGAAGAGAGCCUAGAGGGGCCGUUAUUUUAAGUUCCCCUUUUUCCCUGCCUUAUUUAUUAAUUUUAAAUAAAUUAAAUAAAGUACAUUUUAAUUUAUG